rnacentral:tRNA from 1 species
AGGGGUGUGGUUCAAUGGUAGAACAAGGGUCUCCAAAACCUUUGACGAGGGUUCGAUUCCUUCCACCCCUGCCA